UGCCAGCCGCCGCGGUAAUACGGAGGGUGCAAGCGUUGUUCGGAAUUAUUGGGCGUAAAGCGCGUGUAGGCGGACUGUUAAGUCUGAUGUGAAAGCCCGGGGCUCAACCUGGGAAGUGCAUUUGAUACUGCCAAGCUUGAGUAUGGGAGAGGGAAGUGGAAUUCCUGGUGUAGAGGUGAAAUUCGUAGAUAUCAGGAGGAACACCGAUGGCGAAGGCAUCUCUCUGGACCGAUACUGACGCUGAGGCGCGAAGGCGUGGGUAGCGAACAGGAUUAGAUA
rnacentral:rRNA from 1 species